GACAGAGGUGCCGAGCGUUAGGCGGAAUCACUGGGCUUAAAGCGUGUGUAGGCGGAUGCCUAAGUACCUUGUGAAAUCCCACGGCUUAACCGUGGAACUGCUUGGUAUACUGGGUGUCUUGAGCCACUUAGGGGCGACCGGAACAAACGGUGGAGCGGUGAAAUGCGUAGAUAUCGUUUGGAACGCCAAUGGUGAAAACAGGUCGCUGGGAGUGCCCUGACGCUGAGACACGAAAGCCAGGGGAGCGAACAGG
rnacentral:rRNA from 1 species